AACGCACGAGACCUGCGGACCUGCGGAAGGAUCAUUACCGAGUCUUGCACUCAAAUAACCCUUCUGUGGACCUGAAAAAAACCGUUGCCUCGGCGGGCGGCCCCUAUCUAUGGGCCGGACAGCUCGGCCGCCUUUUUUAAGGCGCGCCGGCGCCAGCCGCUGGCCCCAAACCAAAACUCUAGUAACUAUUACCUUCUGAGUUUUAAAACAAGAAAUAAAGUCAAAACUUUUAACAAUGGA
rnacentral:misc_RNA from 1 species